rnacentral:rRNA from 1 species
AAGGGAGGCAACUCUGAUCCAGCCAUGCCGCGUGCAGGAAGACUGCCCUAUGGGUUGUAAACUGCUUUUAUAGAGGAAGAAACUCCACUACGUGUAGUGGUUUGACGGUACUCUACGAAUAAGGAUCGGCUAACUCCGUGCCAGCAGCCGCGGUAAUACGGAGGAUCCAAGCGUUAUCCGGAAUCAUUGGGUUUAAAGGGUCCGUAGGCGGGUAUAUAAGUCAGAGGUGAAAGUUUGCGGCUCAACCGUAAAAUUGCCUUUGAUACUGUUUGUCUUGAAUUAUUGUGAAGUGGUUAGAAUAUGUAGUGUAGCGGUGAAAUGCAUAGAUAUUACAUAGAAUACCGAUUGCGAAGGCAGA